rnacentral:rRNA from 1 species
AGUGAACGCUGGCGGUAGGCCUAACACAUGCAAGUCGAACGGCAGCACAGUAAGAGCUUGCUCUUACGGGUGGCGAGUGGCGGACGGGUGGGGAAUACAUCGGAAUCUACUUUUUCGGGGGGGAUAACGUAGGGAAACUUACGCUAAUACCGAAUACAACCUACGGGAGAAAGCAGGGGAUCUUCGGACCUUGCGCGAUUGAAUGAGCCGAUGUCGGAUUCGCUAGUUGGCGGGGUAAAGGCCCACCAAGGCGACGAUCCGUAGCGGGUCCGAGAGGAUGAUCAGCCACACUGGAACUGAGACACGGUCCAGACUCCUACGGGAGGCAGCAGUGGGGAAUAUUGGACAAUGGGCGCAAGCCUGAUCCAGCCAUACCGCGUGGGUGAAGAAGGCCUUCGGGUUGUAAAGCUCUUUUGUUGGGAAAGAAAAGCAGCAUGUUAAUCCCCCGCUGUUCUGACGGUACCCAAAGAAUAAGCACCGGCUAACUUCGUG